rnacentral:tRNA from 1 species
CUAAGGGUUUAGAGCUUUAGUAUCAGGGACUUUGGACACUGUCGACAGACGAGUUAUUAGGAGCUUUUUCAAGUACUCCUGCUGGGGUCAUGUGGGCUGUUGGCCAAACUAUUUCUUCUGUACUCAGACUUCAGGAAGACGCGGUUUCUUUUUCCGUGAGAGGACUGUGGCGAUUAUAAGCUGGCAUGGGUUUGGGGUACAGUUGCCUAAUCUUAGAGGGUGACUGGAAAAACCCAGAUGUGAGGGACGCGGGCCACAAAAAGGCCUCCUGAGGGAGUUCCCUGGUGGUCCAGUGGUGAAGGAUUUGGUGGCGUCACUGCUGUGGCUCAGGUUUGAUCCCUCACCACGGAUAAAUAAGUUAAUUCUCUAUAAGUAAGUUAAUUGGUUCACCUUGAUGUUUUCCAGGAAAUGAAGAAAUUGGUUUUAAAAGUUGUCUUAUGCUAAUAUCUGAUGAGGGAAUCUGGACAUAUCUUGAGGUAGGUUAUGUGUUUUGUUUUGUUUUUUCCAUUUCUGCAGGACGUUCACUGCGGUGUCAGGCCCUCUCCAUCCCCUGACAGCGAUGCUCCAUAACCAUUUACUGAUUUCUCUAAGAAGCAGGUGAUAUUGUGAUUUAUACUAAGAAAUAUACACUUGGGUGUUCAUCCACAGUUCCUGGCUCACAGUUCCCAAAUCCCUUACAAUUUCCUAAUUGAUGAAAGCGAUAAAGGCAUCUUUUGUUCAAAUAUUUGGUUUUGUCCUCAGGUUCUGAAAUAGCUUCAGAGGGGUAAACAUGACGUCAUAUGACAGAAUGAUUAUAAUGUUGUAAAUUAACUACACUUCAAUGAAAUUUUUUUAAAAAACCCUAUGAAAUCAGCAUCUUUUGUUAUUCACAACAAAUCCUUCCGACCGUAUCUGCAUUUCUGUUCAUGGGAGGAAUUUUGGAAAGCCCCUAGAUAAUCACAGGGUGGGAGCUGGUUGCCAAGGAAACAAACCACAGGACUGGAAAGUUUAUUUCCUCCCCUCCUACUUCUGGGGAAGGGAAAGGGGCUGAAGGUUGAAUACUCACCAGUGGCUAAUAAUUU